rnacentral:lncRNA from 1 species
GAGAAGAAUGUGUGAUACUAUUAUGAGAGAUUUAAGAAGGUUGAAAUUGAAACCCUAAGUGUGAUUAAGAGAAAAUCGUUUGUAAUUAUAAGGUUAAGGCAUACUAGGUUUGAGGUUUGGGUUGGAUGUGGGAUAAGUGAAGUUUGGGUUGUAACAUAAUGCGGUUUGGUUUGGUUUAGUUCAGUUUGCAAAAUACAAACCGCAAACCAAACCAAACCGUGCGGUUUUAUUAAAAAAUGACCCAAACGAAUCCGAACCAAAUGCGGUUUUUUGCGGUUU